rnacentral:rRNA from 1 species
UACGGAAGAUGCAAGCGUUAUCCGGAAUGAUUGGGCGUAAAGCGUCCGCAGGUGGCUGUGUAAGUCUGCUGUUAAAGAGUGAGGCUCAACCUCAUAAAAGCAGUGGAAACUACACGGCUAGAGUGCGUUCGGGGCAGAGGGAAUUCCUGGUGUAGCGGUGAAAUGCGUAGAUAUCAGGAAGAACACCGGUGGCGAAAGCGCUCUGCUAGGCCGUAACUGACACUGAGGGACGAAAGCUAGGGGAGCGAAUGGG